rnacentral:rRNA from 1 species
GAUGAACGCUGGCGGCGUGCCUAAUACAUGCAAGUCGAGCGAAGCGGGGACGGGUGAGUAACACGUGGAUAAACUACUAUAAGAAUGGGAUAACUUCGGGAAACCGGAGCUAACCCGGAUACUUAUCGAUGGAUCCGCGCUGACGUAGCUAGUUGGUAAGGUAACGGCGUACAAAGGCAACGAUGCAUAGCAGACCUGAGAGGGUGAUCUGCCACACUUUAACUGAGACACGGUCCAGACUCCUACGGGAGGCAGCAGUAGGGAAUCUUCCGCAAUGGGCGAAAGCCUGACGGAGCAACGCCGCGUGAGUGAUGAAGGUCUUCGGAUCGUAAAACUCUGUUAUUAGGGAAGCGGUACCUAAUCAGAAAGCCACGGCUAACUACUUGCCAGCAGCCGCGGUAAUAC